rnacentral:rRNA from 1 species
UACGGAGGGUGCAAGCGUUAUUCGGAUUUACUGGGCGUAAAGGGCGCGCAGGCGGCUUUGCAAGUCAGUUGUGAAAGCCCGGGGCUUAACCCCGGAAGUGCGACUGAAACUGCGGGGCUUGAGUAUGGUAGAGGGAAGUGGAAUUCCUGGUGUAGCGGUGAAAUGCGUAGAUAUCAGGAGGAACACCGGUGGCGAAGGCGGCUUCCUGGACCAAUACUGACGCUGAGGCGCGAAGGUGUGGGGAG